rnacentral:rRNA from 1 species
AGCAGCCGCGGUAAUUCCAGCUCCAAUAGCGUAUAUUAAAGUUGUUGCAGUUAAAAAGCUCGUAGUUGAAUUUUGGAUUCUGCCAAUUGGUCCAUCUUUUAGAUGAGUACUGGUUGUGUGGGGUCUAUCCGCCUGGUGAUACGUAAUGUCCUUUAUUGGAUGUUGCGGGUAGUCAGGACCUUUACCUUGAAAAAAUUAGAGUGUUUAAAGCAGGCUUAUGCCGGAAUACAUUAGCAUGGAAUAAUAGAAUAGGACGAAGUUGUUUUAUUUUGUUGGUUUCUAGGACAACCGUAAUGAUUAAUAGGGAUAGUUGGGGGCAUUAGUAUUCAAUUGUCAGAGGUGAAAUUCUUGGAUUUAUUGAAGAUUAACUACUGCGAAAGCAUUUGCCAAGGAUGUUUUCAUUAAUCAAGAACGAAAGUUAGGGGAUCGAAGACGAUCAGAUACCGUCGUAGUCUUAACCAUAAACUAUGCCGACUAGGGAUCGGGCGAUGUUGUUUCCAUGACUCGCUCGGCACCUUAU